GUGGUGGUGACGACGGCUCCGAAGAAGGCUCCAGGAGCGGCAAGUCGAAGCUGGAGGCGCUCACAGAUGAAGCCAAGUUAGGCAACGUGACUGCAGUCGUUGGAAAGGUUGGCGGUCUCUUUGGCCGCGGCAUCGGAGAACUGUCAUCAAAAAUCGGCGGGGCGUCUUCUUGGUUUUAGCAUAUUAAAAGCCCUAGCACAUUCGUUUACGUUAAAAUUCCUUUCUUUGCCUAUAUCGAUGUACUGAGAUAGAGAAUUCCAGCUGCUUUUUGUCAAUACACCGAUUCAAACAUCGAAGCAUCGACAAAAAGCAAUCAACUGUUCUGUGAUGACGUUUCAAAAUUUUUCUUUUUUGCAAUCGAUUACAUUCUAGAAUGUCAGCCAUUUUGGAAAUAGUUAAUCGAAAAAUGGCGUCUUACGCGCUAAUUUAAAUAUAAGUGGCCAGUUCGCAUAGCUUAGUAUGAUUAGUGUAAAACGAGGUGUAGAUUUUAUUUUAUAAAAGCUUUAUGUACAGUUAGGAUCAUCAUUCGUUUAUUAUUGGAUCAAAAUAACAUUGUAAUAGGUGUUAAGAGUAGUAUUUGAUAUCACAAAAUUGAAUAUUAUAAAAAUUAUAUACUACGAAUGCAUACAUAAACACAAUGCUACAAUAAUAAAACAUAUCGCUUUGGCAAAAAUUACGUUGUGUGUUAAUAAAUUACGGUAUAUUAUUUAUGUUAUUUACAAAAUUAUAAAUAUUAUAAAAUAUUGGGUAAUUCGAGCGAUUUGGGAGUGUUUUUAAAGGGAGAAAGCGAUCCUUUUGAAAUUAGUUGCCGAAUUUUCGUUGAUAAAACUUUUAAAUACCUACUUACUAACUACCUGCUGUUAGAAUCAAAUAUUUUAUAGAUGUUUAAUCAAUGUUUCUUGUGUGUUAACAAUAACAUUCAGUGUUACUUCAUUAUUUCACAGUUUCUCACCCAUUUCCACAUUAACGUGUGACAUAACAUAGCCAUAAUAGCACAUAGUUUUUACAGAAAAAUGUUACGAAAUUUUUAAUUCAUCUCUUUCUAUUCAGAAGCAGUAUUUUUCUAAAUAUCCUACAAUCCUCUUUUUAAAUAUCGGUUGAUGUUAAAACUUGAAACUAACUUUUUCAUGUGCAUUUUUAUAAAAAUAAUAAUGGCGCGAGAUUUUGCAAAUUAUUUUUCGAACACAAGUGUUGCCAGUAAAGAAUGAUUUCCCCAUUUUGAGGGUAGUUUUUAUAAAAAUGCACGUUUUACUAGCCACUUUUGCUGUAGUAAUUAUUCUCUAUUAUAUUUUAAUGCUCUGUAGAUUCUAAUAACGAUCUAGUAACGUUUUACCUUGACUAGUCGUCAAAAUAAUACAUAACUAUUUAUUAAAAAAAUACUAUUAUAGUUAUAUUUGUUAACAAAAUAAUAUUCUUCUACGCUAAACACCUUACAAAUUUUUGAACUAGAAAAUUUAAAGUUCUUAGAUAAAACUUUGAAAAUUUAAAUAGCGUUUAGUCGCUAUGCUGAGUCGCCUUAAAUUGUCUUGUGAGAAACGGCUUAAGAAAUAGAUACAGAAUUAUAAGAGUUUGUUAAAUGAACAUUAUAUUAAUUGGAUGAAUGAACAUUAUAUUAAUUGAUAACAAGACAAAUAUUUUUACACACGUUACUUAUAAUUUUAAUGACGGUGCUUGCUCUUACAGAAUAACGAAUGGUUUUUCAAAAAACCAUUAUUUUCCACGUAAAAAAGUAUUAAAUAUCUUUUCAAUACGAGUAAUAACAUAAAAAAACGGUUUAUAAAUAAGGGUGAACAUCGUCUAAUACAGUUUCAUACUAUACUUAACCUUAAGAGAUGUUAUUUUCCACUCCAGAGCUUUUGUUUAUUUUAUUUAUCUUUCAAUAAACAAUAAUAAUUAUUUUCUACAAUAAUAAUAUACCAUUCAUUAAAAAGAACGUUAAGGGAAUUAUAACAAUCGUGAAUAAAUAACUAGCUGCUAUAAUGAAAGAAUCUAAUAAUUAUAAAUUAAACCAAUUAAAAGUAAAGAAGCAGAAAGUCUUACAACUACUUUCCCUUCCUUUAAAAUAGGAAUUUAAUGUUGUUUGAUAUCCAGAUUGUCCACAUAAAAUAUACCAUGCAAGAUCAAGGGUAAUUCUGUCUAUGCUUUACCUACUACCUAUAAUGAGUUACCUUUAUGAGUUGUAAUACUUAUUAUGUAAUAUAAUUAUGUUAAAGUAUACCAUCAUUAUAAUUAAUUUCCAAUACUGCUUCUUUCUUAUGGCAAAAAGUUAAAUUUUCCCGUAUCUAGCAUGCAUGACUGUAUGAAAUAACUUAUGUAGGACAGUAACAACUUGGCACAGAUGUAAAAGAAAUAAGUAGUGCUCACUUAAUAAUAGUUGAUUAGAUGUCAUGUAAUCGCUGUUUUUAAGCAUAAACUUUGUUUAUCACGAUACGUGAAUCAUUUGAGACUUCUAUCCUGUUGAGUUUUUAAAUUAUUGAUGUUGCAAAAUACUUUAUUCUGGCACUUAUUUCAUCGGUAUGCACGAUUACAAAAUCAAACUAUUUGCUUAUCACCCAACCUAUUUUGUUCAUUAUUAUUUUUAUGAAUAAGUAUCUACCUAACUUUUUUAAAGUACCUUCCUAAAUGGUCCCAAAUUAUCACAAUGUUGUGAUAUUACUGAGGUAGAAGUAGAAUGAUCGAAGAAAAAAAUUUUUUCUUAGAAAUUACUUACUUAUUACACAUUAAGUGAAUUAAAUAUUAAUAAUAAAUGUACCUUUUCUUAUUAACCAUUUUGUAAUCGUAUAUACCGGACAUUCUAAUUAAUAUUUCACCUUUAUCACUAAUACUUUGGUUGGGUAUCGAGCUCAAUUGGAUGAUAAAGUCAGUUGCAUAGUAUCUAAGUGCAUAAUAAUACGAGCCGACUGAAGAUGUAUCGUGUAGAGUUGCUUGUAUAAUUUUGCAAACGAUUGUAGAAACUCGCUAUGGCAGAUUUAAUUAAUAUCGCGUGUGCCUAAAACAUAUUCAAUAACCUCCUCCUUUUUGAAGUCUGUUAACAAACUAACUCAUGGUUUCUUGUCACCAUUUUCUGCUAACAAACAUUUAGACUAUACGAUAAAAUAGCUUGGUUGACCAGUAACCGGAGUACUUACCUAUAUUCUUUCCCUUCCAAUUAGGCAGGUAGCUACUUACCUAUCUCAACAACUCUAAACCUUAACUUGUAACUCCUCCGCCAUGGCGAAUUUCAACGAAAGCUUUGAAAAGCCAUCGAGUGCAUCGCGAGU